AGGUUUCCACAAAAUGUGUUCGCUGAAGCCUUCAGUCACAUCAUUCUCUUUGUUCAGAUAUCACAGAAACAUCUCAGUUGUAAUCACAGGAAGUUUGGAGCUUUUGUCAGCAUGGGUGAGCCCCUGGGCAAUGAUGUAUGAGACCCUCUUUCUGCAGCGAUGCAAGACCUCCAGACCAAAAAAGAGACAAAGACACAAACUAUGCACCUAUCACGAAACAGACCAUGUGUCACUUAUGUGUGAGGAUAGUUUACCGGAGAGACACUGGCCAUGUAUUUUUUUAGCACCCAAGCAGGAAGUGAGAAAGUUUUUGUGUGCAUGCUGGGUGAGCAGAU